rnacentral:rRNA from 1 species
GAUGAACGCUGGCGGCGUGCCUAAUACAUGCAAGUCGAGCGAACGGACGAGAAGCUUGCUUUUCUGAUGUUAGCGGCGGACGGGUGAGUAACACGUGGAUAACCUACCUAUAAGACUGGGAUAACUUCGGGAAGCCGGAGCUAAUACCGGAUAAUAUUUUGAACCGCAUGGUUCAAAAGUGAAAGACGGUCUUGCUGUCACUUAUAGAUGGAUCCGCGCUGCAUUAGCUAGUUGGUAAGGUAACGGCUUACCAAGGCAACGAUGCAUAGCCGACCUGAGAGGGUGAUCGGCCACACUGGAACUGAGACACGGUCCAGACUCCUACGGGAGGCAGCAGUAGGGAAUCUUCCGCAAUGGGCGAAAGCCUGACGGAGCAACGCCGCGUGAGUGAUGAAGGUCUUCGGAUCGUAAAACUCUGUUAUUAGGGAAGAACAUAUGUGUAAGUAACUGUGCACAUCUUGACGGUACCUAAUCAGAAGGCCACGGCUAACUACGUG